rnacentral:lncRNA from 10 species
AGGUGGAGAGGGCAGAGGUGGGUCCUGAGGGGCUAGGACAGGUCACAGUAGAAAGGACGUUGGGGAAGCAGCCCCAGCAUCAGGGGCGGGCCAGGAAUGCAGAAUGCAUGGAAGCUGGUCAGGUCAGAGCCCGGGCUGAAGGAAGCACGGAGAUGCAAGGGCACCAGGGCCUGUGGGACCAGGAGCCGAUGAUCAGGGCCACAGUGCACACAGCCUUGGAGGUAAAGGACACAUUCAUUUCAUAAGGAUUAAAAAGCAUGGGCUAAGUCUGGGCCCC